rfam:Rodentibacter myodis strain Ac151 contig_11, whole genome shotgun sequence.
UCACCUCCACCAUUACACCUGAUUAUCUUUCGGGCGUUUUGGCGUGGCGGAAGAUAAAUAUCAGUCUUCCGAGUGCGAAAAUAUCAUAAACAAAUAUCCCCCCUCGGAAGUUCAUUUCGAGGGGUUUCUUUU